GCUAAUACAUGCAAGUCGAGCGAAUCGAUGGGAGCUUGCUCCCUGAGAUUAGCGGCGGACGGGUGAGUAACACGUGGGCAACCUGCCUAUAAGACUGGGAUAACUUCGGGAAACCGGAGCUAAUACCGGAUACGUUCUUUUCUCGCAUGAGAGAAGAUGGAAAGACGGUUUCGGCUGUCACUUAUAGAUGGGCCCGCGGCGCAUUAGCUAGUUGGUGAGGUAAUGGCUCACCAAGGCGACGAUGCGUAGCCGACCUGAGAGGGUGAUCGGCCACACUGGGACUGAGACACGGCCCAGACUCCUACGGGAGGCAGCAGUAGGGAAUCUUCCGCAAUGGACGAAAGUCUGACGGAGCAACGCCGCGUGAACGAAGAAGGCCUUCGGGUCGUAAAGUUCUGUUGUUAGGGAAGAACAAGUACCAGAGUAACUGCUGGUACCUUGACGGUACCUAACCAGAAAGCCACGGCUAACUACGUGCCAGCAGCCGCGGUAAUACGUAGGUGGCAAGCGUUGUCCGGAAUUAUUGGGCGUAAAGCGCGCGCAGGUGGUUCCUUAAGUCUGAUGUGAAAGCCCACGGCUCAACCGUGGAGGGUCAUUGGAAACUGGGGAACUUGANUNCNGAAGAGGAAAGUGGAAUUNNNAGUGUAGCGGUGAAAUGCGUAGAGAUUUGGAGGAACNNNNGUGGCGAAGGCGACUUUCUGGUCUGUAACUGACACUGAGGCGCGAAAGCGUGGGGAGCAAACAGGAUUAGAUACCNUU
rnacentral:rRNA from 1 species